GAUGAAGAACGUAGCGAAAUGCGAUAAGUAAUGCGAAUUGCAGAAUUUCCGUGAGUCAUCGAAUCUUUGAACGCACAUUGCGCCCCUUGGUAUUCCGGGGGGCAUGCCUGUUCGAGCGUCAUUUCAACCCUCAAGCUUCUGCUUGGUCUUGGGCCGUGCCGGCAACGGCUGGCCUUAAAACUAGUGGCGGUGCCAUCGAGCUCUACGCGUAGUAAUUCUAUCUCGCGUCUGGGCUUCGGUGGACGCUGGCCAGCAACCCCCAAUUUUCUAUGGUUGACCUCGGAUCAGGUAGGGAUACCCGCUGAACUUAAGCAUAUCAAUAAGCGGAGGA
rnacentral:misc_RNA from 1 species